rnacentral:rRNA from 1 species
CUACGAAAGGUGCAAGCGUUGUUCGGAUUUACUGGGCGUAAAGAGAUCGUAGGUGGUUUGUUAAGUUGGAUGUGAAAUCCCGGGGCUCAACCUCGGAACUGCAUCCAAAACUGGCAGACUUGAGUUCGGGAGGGGUAAGCGGAAUUCCGUGUGUAGCAGUGAAAUGCGUAGAUAUACGGAGGAACACCUGAGGCGAAGGCGGCUUACUGGACCGAUACUGACACUGAGGAUCGAAAGCGUGGGUAGCAAACAGGAUUAGAAACCCUAGUAGUCC